rnacentral:rRNA from 1 species
GUAGGGAAUAUUGGGCAAUGGCGGAAACGCUGACCCAGCCAUGCCGCGUGCAGGAAGAAGGCGCUCAGCGUUGUAAACUGCUUUUGCCAGGGAAGAAUGAGCUCUACGGGUAGAGUCAGUGACGGUACCUGGUGAAUAAGCACCGGCUAACUCCGUGCCAGCAGCCGCGGUAAUACGGAGGGUGCAAGCGUUGUCCGGAUUUAUUGGGUUUAAAGGGUGCGUAGGUGGCUUGUUAAGUCUGGGGUGAAAGGCAGUGGCUCAACCACUAGCAGGGCCCUGGAUACUGGCAGGCUCGAGUGCGCGUGAGGCCGGUGGAACGGGUGGUGUAGCGGUGAAAUGCAUAGAUACCAUCCAGAACACCGAUUGCGGAGGCAGCCGGCUAACGCGCAACUGACACUGAGGCACGAAAGCGUGGGGAGCAAACAGGAUUAGAUACCCCAGUAGUCC